GAUGUACGCUGGCGGCGUGCCUAAUACAUGCAAGUCGAGCGAACAGACGAGGAGCUUGCUCCUCUGACGUUAGCGGCGGACGGGUGAGUAACACGUGGAUAACCUACCUAUAAGACUGGGAUAACUUCGGGAAACCGGAGCUAAUACCGGAUAAUAUAUUGAACCGCAUGGUUCAAUAGUGAAAGACGGUUUUGCCGUCACUUAUAGAUGGAUCCGCGCCGCAUUAGCUAGUUGGUAAGGUAACGGCUUACCAAGGCAACGAUGCGUAGCCGACCUGAGAGGGUGAUCGGCCACACUGGAACUGAGACACGGUCCAGACUCCUACGGGAGGCAGCAGUAGGGAAUCUUCCGCAAUGGGCGAAAGCCUGACGGAGCAACGCCGCGUGAGUGAUGAAGGUCUUCGGAUCGUAAAACUCUGUUAUUAGGGAAGAACAAAUGUGUAAGUAACUAUGCACGUCUUGACGGUACCUAAUCAGAAAGCCACGGCUAACUACGUG
rnacentral:rRNA from 1 species